GUCAGGGGAACCAGAGACAACAACUGUGUUGAAGAAAUAUUGCGGGAGAUGACCCAUUCUUGGCCUCCCCCUCUCACUGCUAUCAACACCCCUGGAAAUGUGGAGCCCAGCAAGUUUAUAUUUCAUGCCAAGGAUCUGAAGCAGCACGCUGUUGGGUACAACAAACAAAAGAGGUGUGAAGUUCCCGCAAAAAGCCCUCCCCAG